rnacentral:rRNA from 1 species
GCCUGCGGAAGGAUCAUUACCUUAUUGCAGCCAUCUCUGAUGGCGCGGAACCCACCGCAAGGUGGGGUCUAAACCCUCUGUCUACGUGUACCUCUUGUUGUUUCCUCGGCAGGCUUGCCUGCCGCUAGGAACCCCUUGAACCCUUGUAUCUAUAGUAUCUCAAAACUCCGAUAACCACUUAAUUUAUCACAACUUUCAACAAUGGAUCUCUUGGUUCUGGCAUCGAUGAAGAACGCAGCGAAAUGCGAAAAGUAGUGUGAAUUGCAGAAUUCCGUGAAUCAUCGAAUCUUUGAACGCACAUUGCGCCCCUCGGUAUUCCGUGGGGCAUGCCUGUUCGAGCGUCAUUUACACCCUCAAGCUCUGCUUGGUGUUGGGCGUCUGUCCCGCCUCCGCGCGUGGACUCGCCCCAAAGUCAUUGGCAGCGGUCGUGCCAGCUUCUCGUGCAGCACAUUGCGCUUCUUGAAGCCCUGGUGGAUCAGCGUCCAGCAAGCCUUUCUAUAACUGACCUCGGAUCAGGUAGGGAUACCCGCUGAACUUAAGCAUAUCAAAA